AGUAAAAAAAAGUGAUUGCGUUGUUAUGGCUUGCUUAUUGGAGACAACACAAUAAAACCAUUUGUAUAUUUUCUUUAGUUCAGGAACUGGAGGAGGGCCUAGCAAGCGGGUCCAUUACACCCAUUAUGAGGAGCUGCUGCUGCCAUUUAUACACCGGGAAAGCGUGCGAGGUGUCUCCGGCACCUUCGAUACAGAUCGGAAUGUUGGCCAAGAUUCAUCUCCACCUGGGCCGAGCAGACGCAGACAAACGGCAUCUGCUCCCGUUCCAGGUGUACGCUCCUUUAGAGAGGGAUUUAGUGGGGAGGAAAGCGAAAGAGGGCCUUGUUCUCAGAUGAGGAGCCGGCCAAUGUUCCCCAGCAGCAGCAGCUCCCAACCCAGGCCCAACCCAGGCCCCAACCCCAGGCCUCCAAGCCCAGGCCCAAAAAGAUAGGUUCCACAAAACACUGAUAAAGCACCACAAAAUAUUGAUGCGCUAACUAAAUGUCUUCCAUGCCGACUUGUGUGUGGCCACUCAGGCCUUCAAUGACGCUCAGGCACACCAGGCUGCACAUGAGUCGGCAAUGUGAAGGCACGAGGCUGCCAUGUUGAGCCUGGAGGAGGAGAAGGUAGAGCUGAAAAGGCAAAAAGUGUCUCUGUUGGCGGAACAAAAUGCUCUACUAAGAGAACAAGUUGCUGCCCUCAAGCAACAGGACCAAAAGCCAACAGAGCCCAUAAGCUCUACCAGCGCAGCUCUCCCUCCUCCAGUCUCAACGAGGCAGCUUCGGAAGCGCAAAUGAAUUGGGCACGGUGCAAUUAGUGUUUUGUGGAACCUAUGUUUUCUUUGUCCUAUGUUUUGUUUUUGCUUUCUUUUUUGUUCUA